rnacentral:lncRNA from 1 species
UCAGAGUGAUUAUGUGGAGAUGGUGUUGUUGUCUAUAUAAUUGUAUGGAGCUUUGAACUGGUAUGUUUAUCCCUACACUCAAAGCAUUAUUCAUGCUCAGAUAGAGAAGAACAAUGUGAGUGGUGAGAGUAGAUGGAGGUCCUCGUCUAUAGUCUUAGAGUUUAGACAUAGACAGAUAGGGGGAUUUACCUUGCAUAGUGUUGGGGAUGGGCUAG